UAGGGAAUCUUCCGCAAUGGACGCAAGUCUGACGGAGCAACGCCGCGUGAGUGAAGAAGGAUUUCGGUUCGUAAAACUCUGUUGUUAGAGAAGAACAGCGCAUAGAGUAACUGUUAUGCGUGUGACGGUAUCUAACCAGAAAGCCACGACUAACUACUUGCCAGCAGCCGCGGUAAUACGUAGGUGGCAAGCGUUGUCCGGAUUUAUUGGGCGUUAAGCGAGCGCAGGCGGUCAAUUAAGUCUGAUGUAAAAGCCCCCGGCUCAACCGGGGAGGAGCAUUGAAAACUAGUUGACUUGAGUGCAGAAGAGGAGAGUGGAAUUCCAUGUGUAGCGGUGAAAUGCGUAGAUAUAUGGAGGAACACCAGUGGCGAAGGCGACUCUCUGGUCUGUAACUGACGCUGAGGUUCGAAAGCGUGGGUAGCAAACAGG
rnacentral:rRNA from 1 species